rnacentral:misc_RNA from 1 species
GAUGAAGAACGUAGCGAAAUGCGAUAAGUAGUGUGAAUUGCAGAAUUCAGUGAAUCAUCGAAUCUUUGAACGCACAUUGCGCCCCUUGGUAUCCCGAGGGGCAUGCCUGUUCGAGCGUCAUUUCACCACUCAAGCCUGGCUUGGUGUUGGGCGACGUCCCCUUUGGGGACGCGCCUCGAAACGCUCGGCGGCGUGGCACCGGCUUUAAGCGUAGCAGAAUCUUUCGCUUUGGAAGUCGGGGCCCCGUCUGCCGGAAGACCUACUCGCAAGGUUGACCUCGGAUCAGGCAGGGAUACCCGCUGAACUUAAGCAUAUCGAUAAGCGGAGGA